rnacentral:rRNA from 1 species
GCAGCACGGGUGCUUGCACCUGGUGGCGAGUGGCGAACGGGUGAGUAAUGUAUCGGAACGUAUCCGGAAGUGGGGGAUAGCCCGGCGAAAGCCGGAUUAAUACCGCAUAUGCCCUGAGGGGGAAAGUGGGGGACCGCAGGGCCUCACGCUUUCGGAGUGGCCGAUAUCGGAUUAGCUAGUAGGUUAGGUAAAGGCUGACCUAGGCGACGAUCCGUAGCGGGUCUGAAAGGAUGAUCCGCCACACUGGGACUGAGACACGGCCCAGACUCCUACGGGAGGCAGCAGUGGGGAAUUUUGGACAAUGGGGGCAACCCUGAUCCAGCCAUGCCGCGUGAGUGAAGAAGGGCUUCGGGUUGUAAAGCUCUUUCGGACGGAAAGAAAUUGCCAUCUCUAACAUAGGUGGUGGAUGACGGUACCGUAAGAAGAAGCACCGGCUAACUACGUGCCAGCAGCCGCGGUAAUACGUAGGGUGCGAGCGUUAAUCGGAAUUACUGGGCGUAAAGCGUGCGCAGGCGGUUUUGUAAAACAGGCGUGAAAUCCCCGGGCUUAACCUGGGAACUGCGCUUGUGACUGCAAGGCUAGAGUGCGGCAGAGGGGGGUAGAAUUCCACGUGUAUCAGUGAAAUGCGUAGAGAUGUGGAGGAAUACCCGAUGGCGAAAGGCAGCCCCCUGGGGUCGACACUGACGCUCAUGCACAAAAGCGUUGGGGGAGCAAACAGGAAUUAGAUACCCCUGGUAGUCCACGCCCCUAAACGAUUGUCAACUAGGUGUUGGGGAAAGGACACUUCCUUUAAUACCGCAGCUAACGCGUGAAGUUGACCCGCCUGGGGGGAUACGGCCGCAAGUUGAAAACUCAAAGGAAUU